GCCGCUGUGUUGGAAUCGGUAGACAACGCAGACUUAAAAUCUGCCAGAAUUUUACUUCUGUACGGGUUCGAGUCCCGUCAGCGGCACCA
rnacentral:tRNA from 1 species